GACGAACGCUGGCGGCACGCUUAACACAUGCAAGUCGAACGAGAGAAGAGGAGCUUGCUUUUCUGAUCUAGUGGCGGACGGGUGAGUAACACGUGAGCAAUCUGCCUUUCAGAGGGGGAUACCGAUUGGAAACGAUCGUUAAUACCGCAUAAUAUAAUUGAACCGCAUGAUUUGAUUAUCAAAGAUUUAUCGCUGAAAGAUGAGCUCGCGUCUGAUUAGCUAGUUGGUAAGGUAACGGCUUACCAAGGCGACGAUCAGUAGCCGGACUGAGAGGUUGAUCGGCCACAUUGGGACUGAGACACGGCCCAGACUCCUACGGGAGGCAGCAGUGGGGAAUAUUGCACAAUGGAGGAAACUCUGAUGCAGCGAUGCCGCGUGAGGGAAGAAGGUUUUAGGAUUGUAAACCUCUGUCUUCAGGGACGAAAAAAGACGGUACCUGAGGAGGAAGCUCCGGCUAACUACGUGCCAGCAGCCGCGGUAAUACGUAGGGAGCGAGCGUUGUCCGGAAUUACUGGGUGUAAAGGGAGCGUAGGCGGGAUCGCAAGUCAGAUGUGAAAACUAUGGGCUUAACCCAUAAACUGCAUUUGAAACUGUGGUUCUUGAGUGAAGUAGAGGUAAGCGGAAUUCCUAGUGUAGCGGUGAAAUGCGCAGAUAUUAGGAGGAACAUCAGUGGCGAAGGCGGCUUACUGGGCUUUAACUGACGCUGAGGCUCGAAAGCGUGGGGAGCAAACAGGAUUAGAUACCCUGGUAGUCCACGCCGUAAACGAUGAUUACUAGGUGUGGGGGGACUGACCCCUUCCGUGCCGCAGCAAACGCAAUAAGUAAUCCACCUGGGGAGUACGACCGCAAGGUUGAAACUCAAAGGAAUUGACGGGGGCCCGCACAAGCAGUGGAGUAUGUGGAUUAAUUCGAAGCAACGCGAAGAACCUUACCAGGUCUUGACAUCGUAUGCAUAGCUCAGAGAUGAGUGAAAUCUCUUCGGAGACAUAUAGACAGGUGGUGCAUGGUUGUCGUCAGCUCGUGUCGUGAGAUGUUGGGUUAAGUCCCGCAACGAGCGCAACCCUUACUGUUAGUUGCUACGCAAGAGCACUCUAGCAGGACUGCCGUUGACAAAACGGAGGAAGGUGGGGAUGACGUCAAAUCAUCAUGCCCCUUAUGACCUGGGCCUCACACGUACUACAAUGGCUGUCAACAGAGGGAAGCAAAGCCGCGAGGUGGAGCGAACCCCUAAAAGCAGUCUUAGUUCGGAUUGUAGGCUGCAACCCGCCUACAUGAAGUCGGAAUUGCUAGUAAUCGCAGAUCAGCAUGCUGCGGUGAAUACGUUCCCGGGCCUUGCACA
rnacentral:rRNA from 1 species